rnacentral:tRNA from 1 species
ACACCCAUAGCCUAGUGGUUAAGGCUUUAAUUUUGUAAGUGAGAAGUGAGAGGUCUAGGGUUUAAUUCCUAGUGGUUGCA